rnacentral:rRNA from 1 species
AUUGAACGCUGGCGGCAGGCCUAACACAUGCAAGUCGAACGAGUGGCGGACGGGUGAGUAAUGUCUGGGAAACUGCCCGAUGGAGGGGGAUAACUACUGGAAACGGUAGCUAAUACCGCAUCCCAUCGGAUGAGCCCAGAUGGGCUUAUCUAGUAGGUGGGGUAACGGCUCACCUAGGCGACGAUCCCUAGCUGGUCUGAUAGGAUGACCAUCCAAACUGGAACUGAGACACGGUCCAGGCUCCUACGGGAGGCAGCAGUGUGAAAUAUUGCACAAUGGGCGCAAGCCUGAUGCAGCCAUGCCGCGUGUAUGAAGAAGGCCUUCGGGUUGUAAAGUACUUUCAGCGAGGAGGCGUUACUCGCAGAAGAAGCACCGGCUAACUCCGUGCCAGCAGCCGCGGUAAUUC